rnacentral:piRNA from 1 species
UAAUCGGAAUUAAUCGGAAAA